rnacentral:rRNA from 1 species
AGCUACAGGCUUAACACAUGCAAGUCGAGGGGCAGCAUGGUCUUAGCUUGCUAAGGCCGAUGGCGACCGGCGCACGGGUGAGUAACACGUAUCCAACCUGCCGUCUACUCUUGGACAGCCUUCUGAAAGGAAGAUUAAUACAAGAUGGCAUCAUGAGUCCGCAUGUUCACAUGAUUAAAGGUAUUCCGGUAGACGAUGGGGAUGCGUUCCAUUAGAUAGUAGGCGGGGUAACGGCCCACCUAGUCUUCGAUGGAUAGGGGUUCUGAGAGGAAGGUCCCCCACAUUGGAACUGAGACACGGUCCAAACUCCUACGGGAGGCAGCAGUGAGGAAUAUUGGUCAAUGGGCGAGAGCCUGAACCAGCCAAGUAGCGUGAAGGAUGACUGCCCUAUGGGUUGUAAACUUCUUUUAUAAAGGAAUAAAGUCGGGUAUGGAUACCCGUUUGCAUGUACUUUAUGAAUAAGGAUCGGCUAACUCCGUGCCAGCAGCCGCGGUAAUACGGAGGAUCCGAGCGUUAUCCGGAUUUAUUGGGUUUAAAGGGAGCGUAGAUGGAUGUUUAAGUCAGUUGUGAAAGUUUGCGGCUCAACCGUAAAAUUGCAGUUGAUACUGGAUAUCUUGAGUGCAGUUGAGGCAGGCGGAAUUCGUGGUGUAGCGGUGAAAUGCUUAGAUAUCACGAAGAACUCCGAUUGCGAAGGCAGCCUGCUAAGCUGCAACUGACAUUGAGGCUCGAAAGUGUGGGUAUCAAACAGGAUUAGAUACCCUGGUAGUCCACACGGUAAACGAUGAAUACUCGCUGUUUGCGAUAUACAGCAAGCGGCCAAGCGAAAGCGUUAAGUAUUCCACCUGGGGAGUACGCCGGCAACGGUGAAACUCAAAGGAAUUGACGGGGGCCCGCACAAGCGGAGGAACAUGUGGUUUAAUUCGAUGAUACGCGAGGAACCUUACCCGGGCUUAAAUUGCAGAUGAAUUACGGUGAAAGCCGUAAGCCGCAAGGCAUCUGUGAAGGUGCUGCAUGGUUGUCGUCAGCUCGUGCCGUGAGGUGUCGGCUUAAGUGCCAUAACGAGCGCAACCCUUGUUGUCAGUUACUAACAGGUUCCGCUGAGGACUCUGACAAGACUGCCAUCGUAAGAUGUGAGGAAGGUGGGGAUGACGUCAAAUCAGCACGGCCCUUACGUCCGGGGCUACACACGUGUUACAAUGGGGGGUACAGAGGGCCGCUACCACGCGAGUGGAUGCCAAUCCCCAAAACCUCUCUCAGUUCGGACUGGAGUCUGCAACCCGACUCCACGAAGCUGGAUUCGCUAGUAAUCGCGCAUCAGCCACGGCGCGGUGAAUACGUUCCCGGGCCUUGUACACACCGCCCGUCAAGCCAUGGGAGCCGGGGGUACCUGAAGUGCGUAACCGCGAGGAGCGCCCUAGGGUAAAACUGGUGACUGGGGCUAAGUCAUAACAA